UCUCAGCAGGUAGUUUGGCCCAGAGACCCUUGGAAGGAGCAGGCUAGGGGAGCUGGGGGGACAGGGUUUGAGAGUCCAUCUGAUUGGCCUGCAAGAGAGGCAGUGGGUACCUCCAGGGCCUUUGAACCGGGGAGAGGGGAGGGCUAGCAGUUUCCUGAUGGGCAUCUGCAGCCUCCCUGGCCUGGAAGUGAACUUUGGGGCCCAACUGCUGCUCCUGGGACCCUGACAGACAUGGCUUGGGUACAGAACUCUGUCUCCAAGUUGAGGUGCUCUUUUCUCCACCUGUGGCUGGAUUGGGCGUGGUGGCAGUGGCAGUUCCAUUUUCUUGAUGCUGUGGUUCUGCUGAGCAUUUCCCUGAGCCCCAGAGAGGGGCAGCGCCCUGGCCGUCGAGCUUGAGCCAGUCUCUUCCCUGCACCAGAGUGCCUGGGACAAGAAUCAGCCCUGUGUGACCAUGGCCUGGGCUCCACCCUCUCGGAGCCCUGGUCACUUCUCUGCACAUGGGGAUGACAAUCCGGAAGCAUGUCAUGAAGCAGACUCUGCAGUGCCCCACGUGCCACUGGAGCUGCCCAAGCACUUCCCUCCUGUGGGCAGCCACCACACCCACUUCUGGUCUCAGUGCUCUCCCUCUGCAGCCCCCUCUCUAGCCGGACCUUUGCUGACUCGGGAGGGCCUCUGUGUGGACAAACCCCUUACUCUUAUUUGCUUGAGACUAGAAUGGGGCUUUUCAAAAGGGACACCUGAAAAGCAGGCACAGCAGGGACUGCGCCUCUCCAGGUGCCUGGAGAGCAGCCCCAGCGGGACUGCAGGCUGGGGGUCCAGGUGGACCGGCUGCGCAGACCUCUGCCUAUGGACAUUAUGGCGACUAUGUCCUGGCUAUGGGAUCCACCAACCCUUCCAGUGCAAGUUGGUAGCCUCUGCAAGGGGGCCUGUGGUGGUCAGGGCAUGUCUGAGUUCUGGAUUUGGCUGUUGGACUUGCUGCUGUGUGACCUUGACCCAUUAUAACCUCCCACCCCGGUGUCCUCACUUGUGCAUGGGGUGCUGGGCCAGAGCUGGGAACUGAGGGGAUCUGCUGGUGGGAUGAAGGAGCAAUGCACCCAACGCAUCAGCAGUGAGGACAUUUGUGAAAAAACAGGAUGAGCGUGACAGAGGGGUGUGGCUUGGAGACAAGUGAACAGAUCCAGUGGGCUCCAGAGUUAACCACGGAAAGAACCGAGAGGAAAUUCCCAGCAGGGGAAGAGCAAGUGCCGAGGCCUUGAUGCGGGAACAGCCUUGAUGCAGCGGGGAAUGCUAGAGGCCAUGGCUGGAGGUCGCGGAGUGAGGCCGGAGAGGCAGGGCUGCUGGAGCGGCUCAGAGGGGCCUGGGAGAGCCCUCGGUGCGCAUCAGCGGGAGGGGCCACCAUCCAACCUAAACACUUCCGAAUGCCAGAGAAUGGCAAGAAGGAAGAGGGUUGGCGCUUGAGCAAGACCUCGGCUAGUGAGGGCCCCUGCGGGGGUCGGGCAAGGCGGAGAGCAGCCCUGAAAGUAGGCGGGUGGUGACCCCGAAAGGAGAGCAGACCGAUGGAUUUGCGAUGAGCUGGAUUUGGGCGUGAGAAAUGAGGAGUCAAAAGUUCUGGCCUGAACAGCUUGCUGGGCUGUGGGAGAGAUGGUGGCUCUCGGGUUUGGUCUCAGACAGGUGAGCUCUGAGAGGCCAGUGGCUCAAGAGCAGAGGUCAGGUGGGCCUGGGACCCCCACGAUGGCGUUUGGAGAGACACCCUGGCUGGACAGCGCUGUCAGAGGAUUGAGGGGCCCAGGGGAGCGGGCAGGGAGGGAAAACAGUCGUGCCGAGCCCUGGGUAUUCCCAGCUCCGAAGGAAGAGGAGGGCCCUGCAAAGGAGCCUGGGCCCAUGGAGCAGCAGAGAGGAGCUCACGAGCUCUCUCCUGCCCGGCCGUGCGCUUUGGGUUUUUUGCUUUCUUUUUUGUUUCAAACUAAGUGUGUGGAGGGAGCACAGUGGAAGUUUGUAACUUGCUGCUCCCUUCCCUCUGGGCACAGGAUCCCUCCUAAAAGAACCCACUAGAAGGGGAAGAGGUGGAGCUAAUCAGGCACCCUACGCUUAGGGAUGGUCACAUGCCCAGACCUGGCCAUUCAGAGAGCCCUCAUCUCCCUGCCCACUGUGAUUGGCUCUGGGGAGGGCAUGUGACCCUGAUUGUGCCAAUGAUUAUUAUGCCUGGUACUUCCUGUUGAAGCUGUUGGGAAGCUGCCCCUUCUGCCAGGGCUGGUGAGCUGGGGAGGUGUUUUCCUGGGCAUGGCCAUGGCUGGGCCAGGUACAUGAUCCAUGGGGUGCACUGCAAAAUGAAAUUUCAGGGCCCCUUGCUAAAAAGUAAGGAAGAAUGACACUUCCAUAGUCUCUCUCUCAGCUUGUCCUGGUGUUUUAAAUUUUCUAUUUAUGUCAUUCUAAGUAAGGAAAAAUUAAAAAGUUGAGUUACUAGCAUGAAGCCGGUCGCAGUGGUGCACGCCUAUAAGGGAGGCUGAGGCAGGAGGAUGGCAAAUUCAAAGUCAGCCUCAGUAGUUUAGCAAGGCCCUAAACAACAAGUGUGGGCAGUGGUUAAGUACCUCUGGAUUCAAUCCCCAGUACCUAAAUAAAUAAGUAAAUAAAAGAAAUUGCUAGCAUGAAUUUUGCCACUCAUUUUUAUAUAGUGCAGUUUGGUUUAAAUAAAUAUGAAUAUCAAUUAAAUUCAUGUGCAGGUAAAAGGAGUCAUUAGUUUGGGGCUGUUCCCAGGAAAGGUGUCACUGUGUGUAACAGAUUGUAACUUUAAAAAGCAUGUUGUUUUUUUAUGAAUAUAAGAGUGCUUGGGAAUUCCUUAAAUUUCAUGCAAUAAACUAUUUUUUAUAAAAUAAAUAAACAUUUAAUAUAUAAAUAUCCAUCCAUAUAUGGUUGGAUGGAUAUUUUUGUAAUAUAUGUAUGUACAUAUAUAUACACAUAUAUGAAUUCAUCUGCAGAAUCAUCAAAAUGAGAGGCUGGGAUUGUGGCUCAGAGGCAGAGCGCUCGCCUAACAUGCAUGAGGCACUGGGUUCGAUCCUCAGCACCACAUAAGUAUAAAAUAUAUUGUGUCCACCUAUAAGUAAAAAAUAAAUAUUUAAUAUUUCGUGGCUUGUCUUGGAGGGUCCCUUGAGCUGACCAGAAGCCAGGCUCGGGCAGGUAGCCACAGCAGGAGGAGAGGACUCUCCCAGCACAAGGGACUCUUCUCCCCUCUGGAGAAGGUUGCCACCAGGAAGCAUGUACCCUUCCAGCGCCUUUCACCCCUGCUGUGCCAGCCAGAGGACAUGCCCUGUCCCUGGGCCUGACACCUGCUGCUCAGGCCCUCCACCUCCAGGCUGAGGUCUUGAGCUCCAGCACUGCCCCCUUGUCUCAGGCCUCCCUUCUAGCUUGCAGAGAAAUAGCCCCCAAGGAUGUCAGUACUUGGACAGGGGAGGGGAGAAGCUCUCC